UAUAUGGGCAGGCCGAGCCAAUGACCUCAUUUCAAGAUGGCUGCCACCUACAUUCUGGUUAGCGUUGUGGAGCAUAAACGAAAUAAACGGAAUAUGUCGAUUCACACCGAAAGCCGGGAUUCCACAGAUCAUGAGGAUAUCUUCUUUGUCUGCCUGUGACCUACUGUUAUUGAUCACCAGCCCCGAGAGUCUAAAUUUUUAUUUUACGAGAGAUGAGAAGCACCAAGCACACUGUAUUACAUUGUCAACAGAUUUCAUUGCUUUAAUUUAAUCUCUUUAGCAUAAAAGAUCGCUUCUCAAGGGGGAUUUUUUGUUGACCAAACUAAGAAUGUCAAACAGCUAAAAAAAAGGCAGCUAUGAAUAAGUAUACCGACAGAAACUUAAAAUAAAAUACUGGAUCAGGGGAGCGAUUUGGACAAUGCGUAUUUCGACUCGGCCGACGAAGACUGCUUUGUAGAAGGAUUGGAUCCACUUUUAGAUCUAGUGGAGGAUGCAUGACAUUUGGGAGCCACCCUUCCCCAGCAAGCACCCCUGCCGGUCAAGGUCUUCAUCCCCCACUGCUAUGUCAGUCACCCUCUUGAAAAAGAAAAUAGGGCUUGUGGCACCAUUUGUCCUAACAGUUUCCCCAAGACCAAGGUAAACAACAUGACAAAGACAGCGGAGAGGGGGACCAAUACGUUGGAAAAGGACUAACAAGCUGCUUUUUGUGAAAUGGAAGGACACUAGGGAAGUAACCAUGCUAACCACACAGCAUAAGGCAUUCAAUAACAACCGUGUCUCAAGAAGGGUAAAAAAGGAAGAAUGUCCCCCUUUCUGUGAAGGUCUACAAUGCCAGCAUGUGGUGUGUCAACCUAUCUGAUGCUUUCAUAGUCUACUACCAGGUCCCCCACAAGACCAGGAAGUGGUAUAAUACAUUUUUUUUGCCACUUUGUGGAUAUUGCUACAGUAAAUGCUUUCAUUCUCCACAAGCAGAUGGCCAAAGCAAAAGGUCAAACCCCUCCUUCCGAGAGCAGCUGGUUUUUAGAGAUGUCUGAAUUGUGGGCCCAAAGAAACCUCACAACCAGCACAAGACCCCACACUCAAGGUGAGCGCCACUAUCCAACACACAUGCCAAAAGACUAAAGGAAGAACUGCAAGCAUUGAACAAAACACGAUGGAAAGGUGAAAUGGCUGAUCUUAUGUCCGAAAUGCCAGCUUUUUGUUUCCUGGCAGAGAUGGACUGCUUCAAAGCCUAUCACGACAUGGACAAGCUACGGUGAAUAUGAAAUAUAAUCAUCUACACCUGGGUUGUAAAACAAACACAAAUGCCAUUUGUAAAUAGUUCAUAUUAUUUAUAUUUUUGAACCUUUUUUAGUGAAGGACACGUGUGUAACCAAGUUUGUGUUUAAUAAGACAUUUUAUAUAUUUUUUUGAAUAUAUCUGUUAAUUUUAUAUUGUUUUUGUAAACAAUUAAUUAAUGUGUGGGACCAAUACAUUGGAUAUGUCUAGGCUAAACGUUCAGGCACUUUGGAGAGGUUGAAAAAACUCUUGGAUAUCCUCUAUAUGUCCCCGGACACCACCACAAUGUUUGAGAGAGGUUGAUGUUGUAGAAAUGUAGUUUUUAUAGUGAACAAUCAUUUUUAGGCACAUCCAGUGUGCAAAAACAGUGCAAUUACCACAUUUGGACACUUUGGAGUGGUUGAAAGGACACUUGAAUGUACCCUGGAUAACAUAACACCACAAUUGGGGUGACAUGGUAGAAAUGGUUUUUAUACUGAACAAAUAGCAUUUUGGGAUUGCAAAUAUGUAAUAGCAUUGGUAUUAUCUAAUUUACAGACAUAUGCCAUUUGGAGAGGUUUAGGGACACUUGGAAACGACCCGUGACCACACCUGACACCACUUACAGUGCCUUGCGAAAGUAUUCGGCCCCCUUGAACUUUGCGACCUUUUGCCACAUUUCAGGCUUCAAACAUAAAGAUAUAAAACUGUAUUUUUUUGUGAAGAAUCAACAACAAAUGGGACACAAUCAUGAAGUGGAACGACAUUUAUUGGAUAUUUCAAACUUUUUUAACAAAUCAAAAACUGAAAAAUUGGGCGUGCAAAAUUAUUCAGCCCCCUUAAGUUAAUACUUUGUAGCGCCACCUUUUGCUGCGAUUACAGCUGUAGGUCGCUUGGGGUAUGUCUCUAUCAGUUUUGCACAUCGAGAGACUGACAUUUUUUCCCAUUCCUCCUUGCAAAACAGCUCGAGCUCAGUGAGGUUGGAUGGAGAGCAUUUGUGAACAGCAGUUUUCAGUUAUUUCCACAGAUUCUCGAUUGGAUUCAGGUCUGGACUUUGGACUCAGGGUGAUGAGCUGUGUUGCUUUUACGCCAAACAUAACAUUUUGCAUUGUUGCCAAAAUGUUCAAUUUUGGUUUCAUCUGACCAGAGCACCUUCUUCCACAUGUUUGGUGUGUCUCCCAGGUGGCUUGUGGCAAACUUUAAACGACACUUUUUAUGGAUAUCUUUAAGAAAUGGCUUUCUUGCCACUCUUCCAUAAAGGCCAGAUUUGUGCAAUAUACGACUGACUGAUUGUUGUCCUAUGGACAGAGUCUCCCACCUCAGCUGUAGAUCUCUGCAGUUCAUCCAGAGUGAUCAUGGGCCUCUUGGCUGCAUCUCUGAUCAGUCUUCUCCUUGUAUGAGCUGAAAGUUUAGAGGGACGGCCAGGUCUUGGUAGAUUUGCAGUGGUCUGAUACUCAUUCCAUUUCAAUAUUAUCGCUUGCACAGUGCUCCUUGGGAUGUUUAAAGCUUGGGAAAUCUUUUUGUAUCCAAAUCCGGCUUUAAACUUCUUCACAACAGUAUCUCGGACCUGCCUGGUGUGUUCCUUGUUCUUCAUGAUGCUCUCUGCGCUUUUAACAGACCUCUGAGACUAUCACAGUGCAGGUGCAUUUAUACAGAGACUUGAUUACACACAGGUGGAUAGUAUUUAUCAUCAUUAAUAAUUUAGUCAACAUUGGAUCAUUCAGAGAUCCUCACUGAACUUCUGGAGAGAGUUUGCUGCACUGAAAGUAAAGGGGCUGAAUAUUUUUGCACGCCCAAGCUUUCAGUUUUUGAUUUGUUAAAAAAGUUUGAAAUAUCCAAUAAAUGUCGUUCCACUUCAUGAUUGUGUCCCACUUGUUGUUGAUUCUUCACAAAAAAAUACAGUUUUAUAUCUUUAUGUAUGAAGCCUGAAAUGUGGCAAAAGGUCGCAAAGUUCAAGGGGGCUGAAUACUUUCGCAAGGCACUGUACUUAAACAUCUGCCCAUUUCUAGUUGUUAGGUCUAUCAAUCCCAUUUUUUUCUGAUAUUGUUCAUAUGUUGUGGAAGCCGUCUGAUGUCUUUCCAGCUCUGAACAUCAAUAAUUCACUUAUAGCUUGUCAAUGAAAGAUGACUUUCAAAAUAUAAAACAAAAAAAAGGUG